rnacentral:rRNA from 1 species
UAACCCUCUUUUUAUCAAGGAAGAAGAUCUGACGGUACUUGAUGAAUAAGCCACGGCUAAUUCCGUGCCAGCAGCCGCGGUAAUACGGGAGUGGCAAGCGUUAUCCGGAAUUAUUGGGCGUAAAGCGUCCGCAGGCGGUCUGUCAAGUCUGCUGUUAAAGCGUGGAGCUUAACUCCAUUUCGGCAGUGGAAACUGACAGACUAGAGUGUGGUAGGGGCAGAGGGAAUUCCCGGUGUAGCGGUGAAAUGCGUAGAUAUCGGGAAGAACACCAGUGGCGAAGGCGCUCUGCUGGGCCAUAACUGACGCUCAUGGACGAAAGCCAGGGGAGCGAAAGGGAUUAGAUACCCCUGUAGUCCUGGCCGUAAACGAUGAACACUAGGUGUCGGGGGAAUCGACCCCCUCGGUGUCGUAGCCAACGCGUUAAGUGUUCCGCCUGGGGAGUACGCACGCAAGUGUGAAACUCAAAGAAAUAGACGGGGGCCCGCACAAGCGGUGGAGUAUGUGGUUUAAUUCGAUGCAACGCGAAGAACCUUACCAGGG